UACGUAGGGGGCGAGCGUUGUCCGAAGUUACUGGGCGUAAAGCGCACGUAGGCGGCUUCUCAAGUUACAUCUAAAAGGCGUCAGCUCAACUGACGAGUGUGGUGUAAGACUGAGGAGCUUGAGGCAAGCAGAAGAGUAUGGAACUCCGAGUGUAGCGGUGGAAUGCGUAGAGAUUCGGAAGAACACCCAUGGCGAAGGCAGUACUCUGGGCUUGACCUGACGCUGAGGAGCGAAAGCCAGGGGAGCAAACGGG
rnacentral:rRNA from 1 species